GGCUUGUUGAUUAUAAUUUCAGGUCUGGCCUGCCCAAUGAUUGAUUAAAUGGCCGCGGUAUACUGACCGUGCAAAGGUAGCAUAAUAAUUAGUUUUUUAAUUGAAAGCUUGUAUGAAAGGUUUAAUGAAGGAAUUACUGUCUCUUUAAAAAUUUAUUAGAAUUUUAUUUUUAAGUGAAAAAGCUUAAAUUCUUAUAGAAGACGAGAAGACCCUAUAGAGUUUUAUAUUUUAAAAAGAGCUAGGUUUUAGGAAGUUGAAAAUAAAAGGUUUUUUUAAAGUAUUUUGUUGGGGUGAUAGGAAAAUUAAAUAAACUUUUCUUGUAUAAAAACAUUUAUUUAUGAAUUUAUGAUCCUGUAAUAUGGAUAAUAAGAUUAAAUUACCUUAGGGAUAACAGCGUAAUUUUCUUUAGAGUUCUAAUCAAAUAGAAAGAUUGCGACCUCGAUGUUGGAUUAAAAUUUAAUAUUGGUGUAGGAGCUAAUAGUUUAGGUCUGUUCGACCUUUAAAAUUUUACAUGAUCUGAGUUUAAACCGGCGUGAG
rnacentral:rRNA from 1 species